rnacentral:lncRNA from 1 species
CAGGCCCUCCUAUGGCCGCCCAGCCUCCCUCCCGGGCUCCUCUAGGAGCAGGAGGCCCUAGGGCUGAAGGGAAGGGAGAGGUGGGGGUUCUCCAGUGCUCCGCAGGCGCGUCCUGCCCACCCCAUCUCCCCGCAGUGGGUUUCUCCUCUUUCUCUUCUGUGACUGGGGUGGCCCCUGUCUGCAUUACCCACAGAGAGUCAGUCGUCUUUCCAGGACCGGAGGUCUCUGUGUGUCUCAUCCAGAGAGAGACAGAGUCUGCCUUGAAUCAGAGGUCAUGUGGCCGUCCCCGCCGGGCCGAACAGGUUGCAGGAGCCCUUGGCUUUCCUUCACAGAGAGGGCAGACAGGAAUCUGCACGCGCUAAGGGAAGUUUGGGAGCUGCGACGCGUCUAUCUGAGCAACGAGUUGAGCCUUCUGAUAAUUGGGAAGUACCCUUGCUCUCAGUUCUGGCGAUGUGAAGGCUCCCCCACCCGACCCAGGCCGGGCUGACAGUGGCCAGUCCUGCGGGCUGAGGGCGGAGCGGUCAGCGGUUUCCUCUCGGCGCGGAGGGACAGGCCCCAGUAGGGGCCAGGCUGCCCCGGGUUCAGCGUCCUGUGUUUCCCCAGCCCCCGGUUGCGGCUGUGGCCCAGGACCUGGGCAGGAGGCGAGGUGGAGUAGCUGGGAGCCUCCUCUGCCUGGGUGGCCUCCAGAAGAUUCCUGAGCAGUGAGCCCACCUUCAUGCGGGGCGCCAGGGGGAGCCGUGGAACCGGGGCUUGAGGCUCCCAGCAGGUGUAGGCCGGGCAGUCGCCCUGGGCUCGCAGCCACACCUCUCCUGCAGGGGCGGUGGCAGCCCUAAAGAGUCAGGAGAGUAGGGCUGGGCUAACUGGGCGGGGCAGAGCCGACUCUUUCCCCAGGGCAAGAGGAAAUUCUUCUUACCAGUUGGAGGUUGCCACAUAAGAUGACUUCCCUCUCGAAAUCACCAGUGACUUAGGAGAGUCAAACGUUCGCUGUUCUAACCCAAAGGCUUGCUGGACAAAUGAGAACUUUAGGAGCUUUGAAGUCUGUUUAAGGACAAGGCCUGGUGCUAGGGAGGAAAAGUAUGACCUUUGUUCCCACACGCACAUCCCAACCUGGGACCAGGCUGAGUGGAAGCCUGUGGUGGGAAUGUGGGUCCCUCCUGCUCACCAGGAGAACCAUGAGCUUUGGGGCCCCCUUUGGAGUUUAUUUAUUUAUUUAUAGUGGGACUUCUUUGCCUGGGAGAACCUGGGGUUGGAAUGCUCCCCAGGGAGUAGCCUCUCCCUGUGCGGGAUCUGCUACGCCCAGGGUGUGGGGACCAGGGACUGGCAGAGGCACGCCCGUGGUCACAGCUGACCCCGGCUGGCAGGCGAGCCAGGGUGUGGGGUGGGUUGUGAGUAGUCCUGGCCGGACACUGCGGAGCUGCCUUUCUCCCUGGAUGUCCUCUCUACUAGCUCUCCCUGUGUAAGCCUCAACCACCUGUACGAGGAGGGGGUGGUGGGGAGGCCCGGGAGGCGAAUCCAGGAGCCUUUCUCCCAGAACGGGGGCCCGAGAUACGGAUUUGAGAGAUGCUUUCACAAAGCCUCACCAAGUCCCACGGGGCCAAUUUCUUCUCCGGGGGCCGAAGUGCAGAGUGAGUAACCAAGAUGUAAACAGUUGCGUGAUGGGUUUGGGGGAGGGGGCAGCGCAUUUAUUGUGUGUGCGGAAGGGAGAAAGCUGCACGUGAUUUCAAUUUUGAAGCACAAAGAAAUAACAUGCAAUGCAGAAAAUAGGUU